GGCGGAUCCGCCUUCAAGUCAGCCGAUCCGCCCCACCCUUCUUGCUCUCCGGACUGGGCCCGCCCCACCUACUGACAGCGGAUUAUCAAAACGCGGCUCCGCCACGGCUCCACGGCGGAGCCCUUCAGCGAACUCGCGCCUUUCCCCACCCCCCUCUUUUUUUCUUUUUCAAAAGUCAACGACUGCUGUCAUAAGGAGCGCAGGAGCAGAGCUUCUCUAAGAUCAAUUCAGCCUGCCUUCCCCCCUCCACCUUGUCUGCUACCUCACUGAAAUAAAAUGAAUAGAAAGACUCUACCUGUCUCCAACUCCACCUUAAGAAGGAGGGCCCGUGUAGACGUAGAAAACCGACUUAAACAAAUGCGGGAUGACGCCACAAAUUUAAUUGACUUUCAGAUGACAACAGAGAGGAACCUUGACCAUGGACACAUCAGUGAAGAGCAUUUUCAUGAAAGUCACACUGGAACUGAUAAUCCACACUGUCUAGACACUGAAACCGGUGCUGGUUUUAGUGAGCAAGAUGGCAUGGAGAUAGAUCUAGGCCUGUCUGAGGAUUUUGAGGAUGCUGCUUGUGAUGUUCAGACUCAGACAUCUGAGUCUGAUCAUUUUGAUGAUGAACUCCAAGACUCGGUUUCACUCUCUGACAGUUUAUCCCACUGGGCCAUACAAUUUCGUAUUUCCUUGGUCGCUUUGACAGCAUUAUUGGCCAUACUUCGCAUUUACCAUUCUGAUAUUCCAAAGGAUGCUAGGACACUCCUCAGAACUGAGACAGAAUACUCAAUUCUUGAAAGGGCUGGAGGACAGUACCACUAUUUUGGCAUUCUGGCUUCUCUUAGAAAUACAUUGUUAAAGUUCAAACACACGUUAGCAGACAGUUUCACUUUGAAGUUACAAAUCAACAUAGAUGGACUUCCUUUGUUCAAGAGUUCUUGUCUGCAGUUGUGGCCCAUCCUUGGUCUACUAUUAAGUGUUCCCAUGAAGGAACCUGUAGUUAUAGGUUUGUUCUGUGGACCAAAGAAACCAAGUUCAGCAAAAGACUUCCUUGAAGACUUUGUUACAGAGUUACAAUAGCUUGAAAAUGGUUUUGAUUUAGAAGGUAAACAGUUAAAUCUCAAGCUGCAUACAGUCAUCUGUGACACACCAGCCAGGUCCUUUAUUAAAAACACAAAGAACCACAAUGCCUACCAUGGAUGUGACAAAUGUGUGCAGCCUGGAAACUAUAUUAACAGACGCAUGACAUACCCAUGUGCAGACUAUGCCCUACGGACAGAUGAAUCAUUCACAAACAUGGCCGAUGAGAGUCGUCAUCAUGAAGGACCACAUCCAUUUAUUGGCAGUAGUGUGGGUAUGGUUUCACAGUUCCCUCUAGAUUACAUGCAUUUAGUUUGUUUAGGAGUUGUUAGAAGAAUGCUACACAUCUGGCUCAGGGGUCCUCUGAAUUUUCGAUUGCCUGCGAGCAUAGUGGAAAGAAUGUCAGCAAAACUGUUAGAAAUGCGUUCCUUUAUUCCUGUAGAGUUUGCACGGAAGCCCAGAUCUCUGAGGGAAUUGGAUCGUUGGAAGGCCACAGAAUUUAGACAGUUUCUCCUGUACACAGGACCUGUAAUGCUAGGCACAUUUCUGGAUCAAAAUAUGUACUAUAAUUUCAUGCUACUCUUCUCUGGUGUUGCUAUUUUAGUUAGUCCUAGACUGUCCUGCCACACACAGUAUGCCCGUACUUUGCUGAAAUGUUUUGUUAGUCACUUUGGUGAAAUAUAUGGAAAAGAUCAAAUUGUUUAUAAUGUACAUGGUUUGGUCCAUCUAGCAGGUGAUGUGCAACUACAUGGUUGUCUGGACUCAUUUUCUGCAUUUCCUUAUGAAAAUUAUCUGCAUAAGCUUAAAAAGCUCAUCAGGAAACCAGAGUUCCCCCUUGCCCAAAUAAUCCGUCGAUUGUCUGAAAUUAGAAUUAUGGAAGCUCCUUUAAGUUGUAUGUCUUUUAAAAAGCCACAUUAUGUUGGACCAAUUAUAGGUGGACUGUCAGUGAAAGCACAGUAUGGUGAAAUGACCUGUGAUAAGUGGACUGUUAAAGUUUCAACUGGGGAUAAUGUUUUUGUUAUUGGAAAUGAUAUUUGUUGUAUACAUAACAUUGUAGAGUGCAGUGAUGGAGUCUAUGUGGUAUACAAGGAAUUCUCAGAUAAAUCUUUGUUCUUUGAUUAUCCAUUUAACUCUGACUAUCUGAAUAUUUAUAAAAUUUCACAAACAUCAGAUUCAUUCAAGUGUGUUAAAGUGUCAGAGCUUGUUGUAAAAUGUACUGUUUUGCCUCAUAGAGAUGGUUUUGUGGCCAUACCAAUGUUCCAUGCCUUUUAGGGACACAUCAGAUUUUUCUCUGUACCUGUCUAUUGUCCUUGCUGGCAGUAUAACUUAAUAGCUAUUAAGGCUGUUUUUUUCUAACAGGCAUUUAAAAUGUCGAGGAUGAUACCAUUUUGUUAUAUUAUUUUCUAAGCAAAGCAAUUGUGGUAGUGUUGCUGGUUGCAGCUCUUUUUUUUGUUAUUUGUUGUUGUUUGAUUUCUUUUUCCACUUCAAGAUGUUCCAUUUGGUCGAGUUCCAGAGCAACAAAGCAGUAGCAGUAGUACCAGAAAACUGGUGCUGUGAUGUUGCUACCUACUGGCCCAACUAUAGAAAUGAUGAAAGAGUGGAUAAGGCAGUAAAAAAUGUAGAGGAACCAGGACCAGACUGGAAGACAUACAAUAUCAGAAUUAUCAAAUCAUGUGAUCAGUACUUUGAGGCACGACAGCUUCUGAAGAAAUCGCUUACAUGCAGCACAUCAGACCUUCAGUCAGAAGAGGAAGAGGAGGAAAUACGACCAAAAAGGAAGCCAAAGGCAAUUCAUUUCUUUGGGGACUCUGACAGUGACACAGAAGAAGUUUACCUGAAAAGGAAAGCCAGAGCUGCAGUAAGACGCCCACUACAACCACCUGCUCCAGUUAUCCAACCACCACCUUUCACUGGAGCUAGCAUCCACACAAUUGCUUCUUCUACAAAAACUCCAUCACCACCACUGCUUGCCCAGAUGGAAAAUAGACCAAGAGAUGAGCCAACUCCUUCUUCAAGCCAUGUCUACAGGCCUACUUGGAAAGGGGGACGGUAUGGCUCAGACACAAUUACCUGCUCUGCUGCAGAAGUUCAAAUAUUGAGCUUACUGGAGUACAUUAAACACCAACAAGACCAAUUAACCACCAAAGUAAACUAUCUGACCAACAAGCUGAACUCAACUGUCCAAGAAAGAGAAAUACCUGACCCUGUACAGUUUCCACUACAAUCAAUGGAGGAAGUGGAGAAUUUUGAGAAAUGGCUCAAAGAUCCUGCUAACUCUCACCUGAAGUAGAGUGUGAUUUCUUCACUGGCAGCCAUCGGGGGGCUGAUGCAAGAAGUAUCACAUGGAACAUUCUUUCCCGCAUGUUCCACAGUGACAUUGGACAGAAGAUAAAUUGGACAGGGGCCAAUGGAAAGGGAGGUUUCUCCCAGAUGGCAUCAAAAACAGUACUCUUGGAUGCAGUAAGAAAGACCCACGUGUCCCGUGCUGCCACAGAAGAGGAGAUUCGGAAACAUGCCAUACGAUGGUUCAAUCUGGCAGCAGACAGAGGAAGAAGGCGGCGUCCUCCUGUUACCAUCCCGAAUCAAUGCUGAGGACUUCAGUUUGUUAUUGUUACUGUUAUUGUUCCAAAAAUGGUUAUCUUUCAGUUAUUUGUCUGUUAAUGUUUUAAUGAAGUACAGUAAUGAAUCAAUGCAUCACCUGCUUAAUUAAUUUGUGAUAGUAUUUCCUUUCUUUGCCAUUUUACUUUUUCCUUUACUGCAUUUUGUUAAAGAAUAAAGAAGUGUUAAAGGAUUUAUAGUAAAUAAACAGUAUUCUUGAUACAUUUAUGAUCCCAUUAUUUUUGUAAUACUCAUAUGCUCAUCUUGUUAUUCAAAUGGAAAAUUAGGCUUUAGAUAAGGAUGCCGUAAUUGUUAAAGAUUUUUCAUUUUCCCUAAAAUCAGUCUUUAUGUCCAAAUAGAUAUUUUAGCUUUAACUGUAGCUAGCAUGGCUACAGCAAUUUUUAAUAAGGGAUCCUGAAAAUAUUCUGGCCAAAAUAAGCUGUUAUAUGAACGGAUUCAAAACGGAUCCGUGUCGGAUCAGUUUUUCCACAGACGGCUCCGUAAAGGAUCCGUUUUGGAUAACCUGAAACGUGGACGGGUCCGAUUUGUAUCCGGUCCUGAUCUGUUCCUCAACCGUGAUCCUGAUCCGUUACUGAUCCGUCCCGCUGUGCAAGUGGACUCCGAUACGGACCGGUUUUGCGGGUCCGUUAC